rnacentral:rRNA from 1 species
UACAGAGGUCUCGAGCGUUGUUCGGAUUCAUUGGGCGUAAAGGGUGCGUAGGUGGCGCUGUAAGUCAGGUGUGAAAUUCGGAGCUUAACUCCGAAACUGCAUUGAUACUGCGGUGCUUGAGGACUGGAGAGGAGACUGGAAUUUACGGUGUAGCGGUGAAAUGCGUAGAUAUCGUAAGGAAGACCAGUGGCGAAGGCGGGUCUCUGGACAGUUCCUGACGCUGAGGCACGAAGGUCAGGAGCAACGG